rnacentral:rRNA from 1 species
AGAGUUUGAUCCUGGCUCAGGAUGAACGCUAGCGGCAGGCCUAAUACAUGCAAGUCGAGGGGCAGCGGGAGUAGCAAUACUUGCCGGCGACCGGCGCACGGGUGCGUAACACGUAUACAAUCUACCUUUAACAGGGGGAUAGCCCGGAGAAAUCCGGAUUAAUACCCCAUAAUAUCAGAAUCGGCAUCGAUUUUGUUUGAAAACUACGGUGGUUAAAGAUGAGUAUGCGUCUGAUUAGUUAGUUGGUGAGGUAAUGGCUCACCAAGACCACGAUCAGUAGGGGAUCUGAGAGGAUUAACCCCCACACGGAUACUGAGACACGGAUCCGACUCCUACGGGAGGCAGCAGUAAGGAAUAUUGGACAAUGGGCGAAAGCCUGAUCCAGCCAUGCCGCGUGCAGGAAGAAGGCGCUAUGCGUCGUAAACUGCUUUUACACCGGAGAAAACCCCCUUUCGUGAAAGGGGCUGAUAGUAUGGUGAGAAUAAGCAUCGGCUAACUUCGUGCCAGCAGCCGCGGUAAGACGAAGGAUGCAAGCGUUAUCCGGAUUCAUUGGGUUUAAAGGGAGCGUAGGCGGUCUUAUAAGUCAGUGGUGAAAUCUCCUCGCUUAACGAGGAAACUGCCAUUGAUACUGUAGGACUUGAGUAUAGUUGCUGUGGGCGGAAUAUGACAUGUAGUGGUGAAAUACUUAGAGAUGUCAUAGAACACCGAUUGCGAAGGCAGCUCACAAAACUAUAACUGACGCUGAGGCUCGAAAGUGCGGGGAUCAAACAGGAUUAGAUACCCUGGUAGUCG